GAAAAUGGAUGGCGCUUGAGCGAAAGACCUAUACCCGGCCGUUACUGGCUUGUGCGAUGGCUAACGCCUGGCCGUAACGAGUAGGAGGGUCGUGGUGGUUGCGUUGAAGGCUUAGGGCGUAGGCCCGGCUGGAGCUUCCAUCAGUGCAGAUCUCGGUGGUAGUAGCAAAUAUUUAAGUUCGAUCCUUGAAGACUGAAGUGGGGAAGGGUUCCACGUGAACAGUAGUUGAAUGUGGGUCAGUCGAUCCUAAGAUACUGGCUUAUGCCUUGUAUCAUCGAGAGGGAGAAGUUUCUUCUCUCUCGGAUAUCGAAAGGGAAUAGAGUUAAUAUUCUCUAACGCAGACAUAGAGAUUGUGGCUCUUUGAGUUGCUUGCGCGGUAACGCAUUCGAACUCGGUAACGUCGCUUAGAGACCGAGCUAGAGUUUUCUUCUCUAGUUAAGGAACGGACUCCCUGGAAUCGGUUCAUCCGGAGAUAGGGACGUUGUUUCCGUAAAGCACCGCGGUUUCUGUGGUGUCUCGUGCUCUCUGAACGGCCCUUGAAAAACCGAGGGAGGCUAUUAAUCUAUGCUGCAUCGUACCGAUAUCCGCAUCAGGUCCUCAAGGUGAACAGCCUCUAGUCGAUAGAAUAAUGUAGGUAAGGGAAGUCGGCAAAUUAGAUCCGUAACUUCGGGAAAAGGAUUGGCUCCAGUGAUCGGGUCGGUUGGCCUGUUCGCUGAUACUUGUAUGGUUUCGUUCGUGGCUGGCUGAUGCUAACGCUGAUGUCGGACUAGUGAUGAGACAGUCUUGUGGACGUUUAUAGGUGUGUGCUUUGCUUUCGAGCUUAGUAUCCUGACCGGCCAUUAAAACGGUCGAACUGGAACUGGUACGGACUCGGGGAAUCCGACUGUCUAAUUAAAACAGAGGAGACAGAUGGUCCUUGCGGACGUUUACUGUCUCUGAUUUCUGCCCAGUGCUCUGAAUGUUAAAUCGUAGUAAUUCGAGUAAGCGCGGGUAAACGGCGGGAGUAACUAUGACUCUCUUAAGGUAGCCAAAUGCCUCGUCAUCUAAUUAGUGACGCGCAUGAAUGGAUUAAC
rnacentral:ncRNA from 1 species